AAACCAUGGUGAGGGCAUUUCAUUGUGUAGCCUUUGAAGCACUCCCAUGCUUCUCCGAAGCUUUCAAGUCCCUUCUGUGUGAAUCCAGUAACUUCAUUUCGGAGUCG
rfam:Brassica napus, WGS project CCCW01000000 data, contig: 7764